rnacentral:rRNA from 1 species
GUGCCAGCCGCCGCGGUAAGACGAACCGUCCAAACGUUAUUCCGAAUCACUGGGCUUAAAGGGUGUGUAGGCGGCUCGGCAAGUUGGGUGUGAAAUCCCUCGGCUCAACCGAGGAAUGGCGCCCAAAACUGCCGGGCUAGAGGGAGACAGAGGUGAGCGGAACUUGCGGUGGAGCGGUGAAAUGCGUUGAUAUCGCAAGGAACACCAGUGGCGAAAGCGGCUCACUGGGUCUCUUCUGACGCUGAGGCACGAAAGCUAGGGGAGCGAACCGGAUUAGAUACCCGGGUAGUCCUGGCCGUAAACGAUGGAUGCUAGAUGUGGGCGGGGAGACCCGUCCGUGUCGCAAGCUAACGCGUUAAGCAUCCCGCCUGGGGAGUACGGCCGCAAGGUUGAAACUCAAAGGAAUUGGCGGGG